rnacentral:misc_RNA from 1 species
AACGCACCUUGCGCUCCUUGGUAUUCCGAGGAGCAUGCCUGUUUGAGUGUCAUUAAUAUAUCAACCUCUUCAAGUUUUUACUUGUUGAGUGUUUGGAUUUGGGGGUCUCUUUUGCUGGUCUCUAUUGAGGUCGGCUCCCCUGAAAUGCAUUAGCGGAACAAUUUGUUGACCCGUUCAUUGGUGUGAUAACUAUCUACGCUAUUGACGUGAAGCAGGUUCAGCUUCUAACAGUCCAUUGACUUGGACAAAUUUUCAUUAAUGUGACCUCAAAUCAGGUAGGACUACCCGCUGAACUUAA